CUUGGCCCUACAGGCAUUGCAGGUGUGGCUGCUACGUCACAUGUGCCUCAGUAGGUGACAGAGAGGAGAGAAGCUAUGUCUACUCUCAGGGUUCUGACCUUUGAAUGUCCGAAUGAUUAGUAGCCGAAGGUU